rnacentral:ribozyme from 1 species
UACAAUGCUAGAUAGAUAAAAAAAACUAAAAAAAAAGGAUUUCGCUUGCUAGCGAAUGUGCAGCCAAUUUUUCCAUUUUCCUGUUUCACAGUUUUCCACGAGUGCUUUUUCG